GGGGGCGAACGGCUUCGACGGAGUGACUGAGGAGUCCGGGGGCAUGGCGAGGGUCCUCUGUGACCUCGUUAAUCAUGCAGAGGAACUACAGCUGCCAACAACAGCUACGCACUGGCUGCCUAAACAACAGGCAGUCCCUUGACCCGCGAGUUCACCCGGCGCGGAAUCAGGGUCUAACAGGGUGAUCAAGGUCCGGGUUGCGCCUCAGGGUCCGGGCCGGAUCUUUUCUGGGGCUGGGCUGCAACAGCCUGCCGGUCGGCAGAGUUGCGGAUGAGGAUUGUAGACCGGAUAACCAUGUAGAACCCGGGCGCCGAACGCUUCGGACGCGGGUUCGAUUCCCGCCGCCUCCAUAG
rnacentral:tmRNA from 1 species